AGCACGGCCUACGGCAGGAUGCACAGCAGGAGGAUUUCGGAAUCUUCCAGGUGCGUGCGACGACCUGGGACGCUGGAAACCCGGAGCUGCGCGCUGGGCGGAAAGGACUCCUAGUGGGCCCGGCUGAGAAGGCGGAGGUGGCGCGCGAGGGGCGGGCUCGUGCCAACGCUGGCCUGGGCCGAGGCCACUGGUGCAUAUGUUCCCGGGAGGGAUAAGCCAGACCUGCCAACCUGGAAGAGGAAUUUCCGCUCUGCCCUCAACCGCAAAGAAGGGUUGCGUUUAGCAGAGGACCGGAGCAAGGACCCUCACGACCCACAUAAAAUCUACGAGUUUGUGAACUCAGGAGUUGGGGACUUUUCCCAGCCAGACACCUCUCCGGACACCAAUGGUGGAGGCAGUACUUCUGAUACCCAGGAAGACAUUCUGGAUGAGUUACUGGGUAACAUG
rnacentral:lncRNA from 10 species